rnacentral:rRNA from 1 species
AGCGAACGCUGGCGGCAGGCCUAACACAUGCAAGUCGAACGGAUCCUUCGGGAUUAGUGUCGUACGGGUUUGUCACCCGUGGGAACGUUCCCUUUGGUUCGACACAACUCAGGGACACUUAAGCUAAUACCGAAUGUGCCCUUCGGGGGAAAGAUUUAUCGCCAUUGGAGCGGCCCGCGUCUGAUUCGCUAGUUGGUGAGGUAACGGCCCACCAAGGCGACGAUCAGUAGCUGGUUUGAGAGGAUGAUCAGCGACACUGGGAGUGGGACACGGCCCAGAAUCCUACGGGAGGCAGCAGUGGGGAAUGUUGCGCAAUGGGGGAAAGGCUGACGCAGCCAGGCCGGGUGAAUGAUGAAGGUAUUAGGAUUGUAAAAUGCUUGCAGCGGGGAAGAUAAUGACGGUACCCGCAGAAGAAGCGACGGCUAACUUCGUG